GAUAGCAAGAAUCUCAACUAACAGCAGUGCUGCUUCAGCCAGUUGUUCUUAAUAGCCCUGCAGAGGAAGGAAGAUUUAUAGACAGGAACUGAACAAGGUGAAAAAACAACAAAGAGGUGAAAUGUCAUUCUCAAAGUCACAUAUGGCUUUCCUUGGAACCAGCAACUUCUACUCUCCUGUUCUUACCGCAAGACCACAAUGCCUAGUUAACGUGAUAGUUCCCAGUGUGAAAUGGGCUCCUGAGAAUUAAAUGUGUAACCUGUAAAAUAUA